rnacentral:rRNA from 1 species
UUAAGCGACUAAGCGUACACGGUGGAUGCCCUGGCAGUCAGAGGCGAUGAAGGACGUGCUAAUCUGCGAUAAGCGUCGGUAAGGUGAUAUGAACCGUUAUAACCGGCGAUUUCCGAAUGGGGAAACCCAGUGUGUUUCGACACACUAUCAUUAACUGAAUCCAUAGGUUAAUGAGGCGAACCGGGGGAACUGAAACAUCUAAGUACCCCGAGGAAAAGAAAUCAACCGAGAUUCCCCCAGUAGCGGCGAGCGAACGGGGAGGAGCCCAGAGUCUGAAUCAGUGUGUGUGUUAGUGGAAGCGUCUGGAAAGGCGCGCGAUACAGGGUGACAGCCCCGUACACAAAAAUGCACAUAUUGUGAGCUCGAUGAGUAGGGCGGGACACGUGGUAUCCUGUCUGAAUAUGGGGGGACCAUCCUCCAAGGCUAAAUACUCCUGACUGACCGAUAGUGAACCAGUACCGUGAGGGAAAGGCGAAAAGAACCCCGGCGAGGGGAGUGAAAAAGAACCUGAAACCGUGUACGUACAAGCAGUGGGAGCACGCUUAGGCGUGUGACUGCGUACCUUUUGUAUAAUGGGUCAGCGACUUAUAUUCUGUAGCAAGGUUAACCGAAUAGGGGAGCCGAAGGGAAACCGAGUCUUAACUGGGCGUUAAGUUGCAGGGUAUAGACCCGAAACCCGGUGAUCUAGCCAUGGGCAGGUUGAAGGUUGGGUAACACUAACUGGAGGACCGAACCGACUAAUGUUGAAAAAUUAGCGGAUGACUUGUGGCUGGGGGUGAAAGGCCAAUCAAACCGGGAGAUAGCUGGUUCUCCCCGAAAGCUAUUUAGGUAGCGCCUCGUGAACUCAUCUCCGGGGGUAGAGCACUGUUUCGGCAAGGGGGUCAUCCCGACUUACCAACCCGAUGCAAACUGCGAAUACCGGAGAAUGUUAUCACGGGAGACACACGGCGGGUGCUAACGUCCGUCGUGAAGAGGGAAACAACCCAGACCGCCAGCUAAGGUCCCAAAGUCAUGGUUAAGUGGGAAACGAUGUGGGAAGGCCCAGACAGCCAGGAUGUUGGCUUAGAAGCAGCCAUCAUUUAAAGAAAGCGUAAUAGCUCACUGGUCGAGUCGGCCUGCGCGGAAGAUGUAACGGGGCUAAACCAUGCACCGAAGCUGCGGCAGCGACGCUUAUGCGUUGUUGGGUAGGGGAGCGUUCUGUAAGCCUGCGAAGGUGUGCUGUGAGGCAUGCUGGAGGUAUCAGAAGUGCGAAUGCUGACAUAAGUAACGAUAAAGCGGGUGAAAAGCCCGCUCGCCGGAAGACCAAGGGUUCCUGUCCAACGUUAAUCGGGGCAGGGUGAGUCGACCCCUAAGGCGAGGCCGAAAGGCGUAGUCGAUGGGAAACAGGUUAAUAUUCCUGUACUUGGUGUUACUGCGAAGGGGGGACGGAGAAGGCUAUGUUGGCCGGGCGACGGUUGUCCCGGUUUAAGCGUGUAGGCUGGUUUUCCAGGCAAAUCCGGAAAAUCAAGGCUGAGGCGUGAUGACGAGGCACUACGGUGCUGAAGCAACAAAUGCCCUGCUUCCAGGAAAAGCCUCUAAGCAUCAGGUAACAUCAAAUCGUACCCCAAACCGACACAGGUGGUCAGGUAGAGAAUACCAAGGCGCUUGAGAGAACUCGGGUGAAGGAACUAGGCAAAAUGGUGCCGUAACUUCGGGAGAAGGCACGCUGAUAUGUAGGUGAAGCGACUUGCUCGUGGAGCUGAAAUCAGUCGAAGAUACCAGCUGGCUGCAACUGUUUAUUAAAAACACAGCACUGUGCAAACACGAAAGUGGACGUAUACGGUGUGACGCCUGCCCGGUGCCGGAAGGUUAAUUGAUGGGGUCAGCGCAAGCGAAGCUCUUGAUCGAAGCCCCGGUAAACGGCGGCCGUAACUAUAACGGUCCUAAGGUAGCGAAAUUCCUUGUCGGGUAAGUUCCGACCUGCACGAAUGGCGUAAUGAUGGCCAGGCUGUCUCCACCCGAGACUCAGUGAAAUUGAACUCGCUGUGAAGAUGCAGUGUACCCGCGGCAAGACGGAAAGACCCCGUGAACCUUUACUAUAGCUUGACACUGAACAUUGAGCCUUGAUGUGUAGGAUAGGUGGGAGGCUUUGAAGUGUGGACGCCAGUCUGCAUGGAGCCGACCUUGAAAUACCACCCUUUAAUGUUUGAUGUUCUAACGUUGGCCCCUAAUCGGGGUUGCGGACAGUGUCUGGUGGGUAGUUUGACUGGGGCGGUCUCCUCCUAAAGAGUAACGGAGGAGCACGAAGGUUGGCUAAUCCUGGUCGGACAUCAGGAGGUUAGUGCAAUGGCAUAAGCCAGCUUGACUGCGAGCGUGACGGCGCGAGCAGGUGCGAAAGCAGGUCAUAGUGAUCCGGUGGUUCUGAAUGGAAGGGCCAUCGCUCAACGGAUAAAAGGUACUCCGGGGAUAACAGGCUGAUACCGCCCAAGAGUUCAUAUCGACGGCGGUGUUUGGCACCUCGAUGUCGGCUCAUCACAUCCUGGGGCUGAAGUAGGUCCCAAGGGUAUGGCUGUUCGCCAUUUAAAGUGGUACGCGAGCUGGGUUUAGAACGUCGUGAGACAGUUCGGUCCCUAUCUGCCGUGGGCGCUGGAGAACUGAGGGGGGCUGCUCCUAGUACGAGAGGACCGGAGUGGACGCAUCACUGGUGUUCGGGUUGUCAUGCCAAUGGCACUGCCCGGUAGCUAAAUGCGGAAGAGAUAAGUGCUGAAAGCAUCUAAGCACGAAACUUGCCCCGAGAUGAGUUCUCCCUGACUCCUUGAGAGUCCUGAAGGAACGUUGAAGACGACGACGUUGAUAGGCCGGGUGUGUAAGCGCAGCGAUGCGUUGAGCUAACCGGUACUAAUGAACCGUGAGGCUUAACCUU